rnacentral:rRNA from 1 species
UAUGGGUUAGUGGCGGACGGGUGAGUAACGCGUGGGUAACCUGCCUUACACAGGGGGAUAACACUUAGAAAUAGGUGCUAAAACCGCAUAAGCGCACAGCUUCGCAUGAAGCGGUGUGAAAAACUCCGGUGGUGUAAGAUGGACCCGCGUCUGAUUAGCUUGGUUGGCGGGGUAACGGCCCACCAAGGCGACGAUCAGUAGCCGGCCUGAGAGGGUGGACGGCCACAUUGGGACUGAGACACGGCCCAAACUCCUACGGAAGGCAGCAG